UGGCCUUGGUAGGAGCUGCUUUAGGUUUUAGCCAGAGAGUGGCAUAGUGAGGGAGAGCUGUGCCCAGGGAGAACUGGGCACGUACCAUUGGUUUGGCAUUGGGAUUUACAAACAUUCAUCUUCUUGGGCUCCUCCUAUGCUGUUGUCUGAGGGUGCAUGUCCCCUCUGUCCUACCUUCACUUUCUGGCUCUUGCUCUUGAUUCUGGAUGUCCAUCAGUCCUCAGAGAUAGGCUUUUGAAAAUCAAUUCCCUGUGGCACAGUGGGUUGGGGAUCUGGCGUUGUCACUGCUGCAGCUUGGAUCUCAGCUAUGGCUCAGGUUCAGUCCCUGGCCUGGGAACUUCUGCAUACCAUGGGCAUAGCCAAAAAAAAAAAAAAAAAAAAAAAAAAAAAAAGGUAGAAUGAUAAUGUGAAAAGAUCCGUAAGAGCGGGAGACUGAGUUUACCACUUGUAUUAUAAUCCCAGCUUUGUUGCCUAGUGGUCAUAUGCCCUUGACAACAAUAAAACACUGAAAAAAUAGAGUAAGGGGAAUCCGUAAGGAUGGGGCAGAGAUUGAAGCUCAGAUGUCUGUGAUGCCUGUGACGGGACAGACCCAGCGUCUCCAGAUAAGGUGCCAUCUAAACAGUGCGGUUUUGAGUAUUUUAACUCAUCAGUUAGAAAUGUGAUAAGUCUGAAAUGUUACUUUGCCUGUUUUUGACUAAGUCUUUGGUAAAUAAGGGAGAGAAAUAGAUGUCUAUCGCAUUUCUCAUUUAGCUAAAAUUGUGUGGCUAUAUUAUGUGUAAUAUAUGAAAAUUGAAUCAUAGUUCCACCAACUUGAGUUCUUCACUUCUACUUGAAUCUCACUGUGUACUUGAAAAAAAGACCGUCAGAUAUUAUCCUGAGAUUUUCUUAUAAUGUUAUUUGGGGGAAUGGGAUGUGAGCCAGGUGAGUCUAGGAAUGCCUGACAGGUCUUGUUUUAUUUACACCCGGUAAGAACCACACUAGCUCACUAUGUGCCUACACACAUCCAUUAUAUUCACCCUUCAUCUGUAUACUGCACACACGGUCACAACUGUAAAACCACAUGUUCUUACAUACCACACACAGGUGCUUGUGUGUGUGCGCGUGCGCACGCGCGCGUGUGUGUGUGUGUGCACACACACACACACACACACACGCACAUGUAUGUCAUUGGCUUACGCCUUUUAAAGAAUGCUUCAGAUAGGAAUACCCACUGUGGCUUAGUGGUAACGAACCUGACUAGUAUCCAUGAGGACACAGGUUCGAUCCCCAGCCCUGCUCAGUGGGUUAAGGAUCUGGCAUUGCCAUGAGCUCUAGUGUAGGUCGCAGACACAGCUUGGAUCCUGUGUUGCUGUGGCAGUGGUGUAGGCUGGCGGCUAUAGCUCCAAUUUGAUGCCUAGUCUGGGAAUUUCCAUAUGCUGUGAGUGUGGCUCUAAAAAGACCCCCC
rnacentral:lncRNA from 1 species